AUGCUCAUAUUUGAUGAGAGUGCAACUGAAAUAGACUAUCCUUCCAAUAGACCCUAUAGUAAUGAGCAAGGUAAGGUUGAUGAAGAAUGUGAGAGUGAAAGUUCUGUUCAAAUCUUAUCUGACUCUCCUCAACACCCAAAAACAAGGGAUACAUCAUUAAUCUCACAGUGUCAGGGGCAAUCUCACAAGAAGAAGAUGAAACGAUUGAAUGGCAAAGAUGAAGCGCUUAAGAAGGCAAGCGGGUUCAAAUCGAAAAAUCCUUAUUUCAUGGUGGUCAUGCAACCAUCUUUCGUUAAGGCAUGGUACAUGGUAAGCUUUCAAUUCAAAGCUUGCAUACUAUUGGGUCUAAUAUGCAAGCUUUGAAAAAUCGAACCAUGUAAUUUAAAAAGAAACAAAGUAUCGCUUAUAGUUUCAAAAAUAACAAAUUAAAUAUUUGAGUUAGUGCAAUGGUGCUCUUAAAAAAUAUGUUUUGCACCCUAUAAGUUAAGAGGUAUGAAAAAUUGAACCAUGUGAUUUCAUAAUUAAUAAAUUAAAUAUUGGAAUUUAUAAAAAAAGAAAAGAAAAGAAAAGAAAGUAUAGCCUAUAGUUUCAAAAGUAACAUGAGUUAUAGAAUUGUCCUCAUAAAAAAAAUAUGUUUUGCACAAUAUAAGUUAAGAGGUAUAACAAAUUUUUUUUUAGAGAGUUUCAACCUAUGGUGUCCGCUUCUGAUGAUAGCUCUUUAUCAUCAGAUUAAGACACCAAUCAGUUUUUGGUGUAAGUGAGGAUUGAACUCUAGAUCUCUUAUGCAACCAUCAGAGACUUUACCAAUUGAGCUAACUGGAACCCACAAGAGGUAUAACAAAUUGAACCAUGUAAUUUCAUAACUAAUAAAUUAAACAUUGGAAUUUUAAAAGAAACAAAGUAUAGCCUAUAGUUUUAAAAGUAACAUAGUUAAAUAAUGGUGCUUAGAUAAAAAAUAUAUAUGUUUUACGCACACCCUAUAAGUUAAGAGGUAUAACAAAUUGAACCAUGUAAUUUCAUAACUAAUAAAUUAAACAUUGGAAUUUUAAAAGAAACAAAGUAUAGCCUAUAGUUUCAAAAGUAACCUAGUUAAAUAAUUUUGCUCAUAUAAAAAAUAUAUAUGUUUUACGCACACCCUGUAAGUUAAGAGGUAUAACAAAUUGAACCCCUGUAAGUUAAGAGGUAUAACAAAUUGAACCAUGUAAUUUCAUAACUAAUAAAUUAAACAUUGAAAUUUAAAAAGAAACAAAUGAUAGUGUAUAGUCUCUUCCUGCUGGAAUAAAUUGUUUGAUCAUAUUGAAUAUUUAACCGCACUUGCUGAACUUUUUCAAAAUUUUAGUUCUCUCACUUUCACUCGUCACUCUCACUCGUCAUUCGCAGUUCGCACAACUCACAAUUCACAAAGCUCUGUUUCAUUCCACUCCGAUGGCCUCGAACAACUAAUCCAAAGAGAUGAAGAGGUUGAAAACUCCUGCAGCCGUAUCCAACAUUGCUGUUAUCGUUGCAGACAAAGCUUCGCAAUGGAGUCCGAAAUGGACGCACAUAAUCGGCUUGUUCUUUGCGACAAUAAGAAGAUCUGCAACCUCUGCGGUACCAUUUACCAGUGGAUUUCAACUGAGUAAUUGAAGAUUAAUAAGUUUUAUGUAAAAUAAUUAAUUCAAAUUAAAUAUUUAUAUUGUAUUCUUAAUAUUUUUUAGCUUAUUUGUGUGUGAUGAGAUCAUUUUUAUAUUAUUUUGAAACUUUUAAUCUUUUAAACAUUUGAAUUUAUAUUUCAAAUAAAUAACUUCAUUUAUUACUGAAAAUACAAAUAACAACUUACGGAACACAUUAAACUCCUAGUCAUAGCAUAAAUAUCAACUAACUGACCCACAGAUAACAAAGCAACAAGGCAAUAAUAUAUUUACCAUUUAAAAGCAUUAUGGCUCAACUAAUUGGCACCUUCUGGUAUGUUUAUGAAAUCCUGAGUUCAAAUUCCCCUGUUUUCAUUGUAAUUAUCAAAUUAUAAAAAAUAAAAAAUAAAAUAAAAAUCAUUUUAGAACUAUUAUUCCAAUCAAUCCCAAUAAAAAAAAUUGGAAAAUAUUUUUCAAUCAUUAAUUGAAUUUUUUUAAUUUAAAAAAUUUGAAGAAAAUUUUAUAAAAUUGAAAAAUCAACCACAACAUAUAACAAAAACUGAUAAAAAACCUUUAUUGAAUAAACUUGAAAGUUAGAGAACUGAAAUGAACAAAAGUAAAAUUAGAGGACUGAAAUGAAAUCUUAAGAACCUGAGGGUUAAUUUUACAAUUUACCAUAAAAUUUACUACGAAAAUGUUUUGAAAAUAUAGUAUAAACAUCGUACAUGCGCCACUCUUACUUAACCGCACUUGCUAAACUUUUUCAAAAUUUUAGUUCUCUCUCUUACUCAUGACUCUCACUCAUCAUUCGCAGUUCGCAUAACUCACAAUUCACAAAGCUCCGUUCCGUUCCACUCCGAUGGCCUCGAACAACUGAUCCAAAGAGAUGAAGAGGUUGAAAAACUCCCGCAGCCGUAUCCAACAUUGCUGCUACCGUUGCAGAUAGAGCUUCGCGACGGAGUCCGAAAUGGAUGCACAUAAUCGGCUCGUUCACCUCGAUGAUAAGAAGAUCUGCAACCUCUGUAGUACCGUUUACCAGCGGAUUUCAGCUGAGUAAUUGAAGAUUCAUAAGUUUUAUGUAAAAUAAUUAAUUCAAAUUAAAUAUUUAUAUUGUAUUCUUAAUAUUUUUUAGCUUAUUCGUGUGUGAUGAGAUCGUUUUAAUAUUGUUUUGCAACUUUUAAUCUUUUAAACAUUUGAAUUUAUAUUUCAAAUAAAUAACUUCAUUUAUUACUCAAAAUAUUGAUAACAGCCUUAUGGAACACACUAAACUCCUAGUCAUAGCAUAAAUAUCAAUUAUCUGACCCAUAGAUAACAAAGCAACAAAGCAAUAAUAUAUUUACCAUUUAAGAGCAUUAUGGCUCAACUAAUUAGCACCUCCUGGUGUGUUUAUGAAAUCCAGAGUUAAAUUCUCUUGUUCUCAUUGUAAUUAUCAAAUUAUAAAAUUAAAAAAAAAAAAUCAUUUUAGAACUAUUAUUCCAAUCAAUCCCAAAAAAAAAAAAAAAAAAAAAAAAAAUUUUUGUNAAAAAAAAAAAAAAAAAAAAAACCAAUUUUUGUUUCAAUUGACAGUUCAUGUGAUUUUGCAUUUUUUUUUUUUUUUUGGUCUCAAAGAUAAACAAAUUAAUACUAUAAAGUAAGGGGAAAAAUAAUAGGUUAAUGAAAAAAUAUUUGAAUGCUUUUUUUUUUUUUUUUAAUUUCUUACCCAUGUACUUAUCAAAAAAGAUUAUGAAAAUUUGAGUAUAUUAAACACAUAAUCCACAAGUGCAUGCGGAAAUUCUUUUUUCUUUUUUUUUUUUUUUUCUUGAGAACCAUGUGGAAAUUGAGUUGGUAAAAAAAUUCAUAAGGCAAUACUUUAUUAGUUUACUAAAUGGGUAUUUUAUUUUGGAUUUGAUAGUGACUUUAAAAAGUAGAGCCUAUAGUUUCAGAAGUAACAAAUUAAAUAAAAUAAACAUUGGAAUUAAAAAAAAAAAAAGUAUAGCCUAUAGUUUCAAAAGUAACAAAUUAAAUAAAUAUUUGAGUUAGUGCAAUGAUGCUCUUAAAAAAACAUGUUUUACGCCUUAUAAGUUAAGAGGUAUGACAAAUUGAACCAUUUAAUUUCAUAACUAUAAAUUAAACAUUGGAAUUUAAAAAGAUACAAAGUAUAGCCUAUAGUUUCAAAAAUAAGAAAUUAAAUAUUUUUUUUUGUGUUAGUGCAAUGGUGCUCUUAAAAAAUAUGUUUUGCACCCUAUAAGUUAAGAGGUAUGAAAUAUCGAACCAUGUAAUUUCAAAACUAAUAAAUUAAACAUUGGAAUUUAUUUAUUUUAAAAAAAAAAAAGUAUAGCCUAUAGUUUCAAAAGUAACAUGAGUUAUAGAAUUGUGCUCAUAAAAAAAUAUGUUUUGCACCCUAUAAGUUAAGAGGUAUAAAAAAUUGAACCAUGUAAUUUCAUAACUAAUAAAUUAAACAUCGGAAUUUUAAAAGAAACAAAGUAUAGUCUAUAGUUUCAAAAGUAACAUAGUUAAAUAAUGGUGCUCAUAAAAAAAAAAUGUUUUAUGUACACUUUGUAAGUUAAGAGAUAUAACAAAUUGAACCAUGUAAUUUCAUAACUAAUAAAUUAAACAUUGAAAUUUAAAAAGAAACAAAGUAUAGUGUAUAGUCUCUUCAUGCUGGAAUAAAUUGUUUGAUCAUAUUGAAUACUGUUUAUGUGCUUUUUCUUUUUUUUGGUCAAGUGAUUAGCAAAUAAAUGAUUUUGUUCACCGCCAUCCACAUUUUUUUUUUUAAAUCCACAUCAUCAUUAGAAGACGAAGAAACAAAGCCAAUAAAGGACUUCGAAUUGGAAACCGAGCCAAUAGAGGAGGCAUUGGGCUUUGAGCUCUCUAUCAUCGUCUUCUUCUUUGUAUCAUGCGCAUGGACCUUGUGGAAUUUCAAAUCCUGACAAUGCCAGUAAACAGUCCUGCAGAGUCGGCAUUGCUUAGAAUCCUUGCAAUGAAAGCAACGGUUGUUUAGUUUAGUUAGAUCUCUACUAUAAUUGUGUUUAUAGGGCGUGUCGGGUGUUCAGAGUUUUGGUCGGAGUCGGACUAAAGUAUUUUGGACAAAUAAUGAUUCCUAAUUUAGGUCGGAUUAUUUAACAAGGAUUGGGUCUAUACAUUCAAAGCCUAGUAGGUUUUGCUUUUGUCUCAAGUUUAGUAGAUCGUACAACCCAGUGAUAAUAUUCAGGAUCUCCAACAUAAUGUUACUUCGACUAUGCCAUGACCCAUGAUUGUGCUAGGGCUGUCCACGGUUAAAGUCUAAUCGGGUUUGGGCUCAAUUUACAUCUAACUCGAAUGAUUGGGUAGAGCUACCAUCAACCCGCCGCUGACCGGAAGGAUGAUAGGAUCAGGCCGGUCAGAGCUUCAACGAAUGUCGGGUGAAUCAGUCAGGGUUGAAAAUUUGAAACAUGGUGAGAAUCCACCUAUGAAAAGAUGAAAAACAGCCGAAUACCGAUAAGAACUGGUGAGACUCCAUAUAAAUAAAAUCUCUUCCAUGAUACCAGGCUUAUAAAACAUGAGGCAAGAGGCUAAUUGAAGGAUCAAUUUGGUAUGUGCAGUUGGGUUGAAGGAUGAGAAAUUUGAAAGAGUUUGUUCUAUAGAUUGGGAUUCUCCACCAAAUUAUGAUGUCUACUUUGAUGAUGAUGAUAUAGGAGUGAGUACUUCAAUACAUAUUAAAGAAACAAUUCAACAAAAUAAUAUGCAAGCCCCAAAAGUGUUCUUUUGGAUAUGGAAGGCUUGCAUAGGCAUGUUGAUUUGA
rnacentral:sRNA from 1 species